AAUGGGCGCAAGCCUGAUCCAGCAAUGCCGCGUGCAGGAAGAAGGCCUUCGGGUUGUAAACUGCUUUUGUACGGAACGAAAAAGUCCGGGUUAAUACCCUGGGCCCAUGACGGUACCGUAAGAAUAAGCACCGGCUAACUACGUGCCAGCAGCCGCGGUAAUACGUAGGGUGCAAGCGUUAAUCGGAAUUACUGGGCGUAAAGCGUGCGCAGGCGGUUGUGUAAGACAGGCGUGAAAUCCCCGGGCUCAACCUGGGAAUGGCGCUUGUGACUGCACAGCUCGAGUGCGGCAGAGGGGGAUGGAAUUCCGCGUGUAGCAGUGAAAUGCGUAGAUAUGCGGAGGAACACCAAUGGCGAAGGCAAUCCCCUGGGCCUGCACUGACGCUCAUGCACGAAAGCGUGGGGAGCAAA
rnacentral:rRNA from 1 species